UACGUAGGUGGCAAGCGUUGUCCGGAUUUAUUGGGUUUAAAGGGUGCGUAGGCGGUCCCAUAAGUCAGUGGUGAAAUACUCUAGCUUAACUAGAGGGGUGCCAUUGAUACUGCGGGACUUGAGUGGAGUUGAAGUGAGCGGAAUUGACGGUGUAGCGGUGAAAUGCUUAGAUAUCGUCAAGAACACCGAUAGUGAAGACAGCUCACUAAGCUCAAACUGACGCUGAGGCACGAAAGUGUGGGGAUCAAACAGG
rnacentral:rRNA from 1 species